rnacentral:rRNA from 1 species
AUGAAGGCGGUGGAGCGGGCGAAGCUGGUGCGGAGCCUGCGGCAGGAGUCGCGGCGGCUGCGCCUGCUCGUGCUCGUCAUCGGCUUCUUCCUCGUCACCCUCACCUUCGUCGUCCUCUCCAAGCCCGACGCCCUGCUCUUCAACCUGAACGGCCGGCUGUCGGUGGACGACGCGCCGCGCUCGCUCCUGAUCCGCCAGGCCACCGACGCCACUGCCGGCGCCGACCCCGACCAGAGAUCCGCCGCCGCCGCCGCCGCCGCCCAGGACCCCAAGGUGCUGGACGACUUCGAAGACGCCGAAGCCAACACCAAAGGGACCACCAAAGACUCGGAGGAGAGGGCGCACACCGUCCGCGAUCCUCAGCAGAGCGCCAAAAAGGGGCCUGAACCCCGGCUGUUAGGCACUAGUGGAGGUGAAGGGGAGAAGAAAGGGCAUCGCAAGGUGACCCUCCCAACCGUCUCGAACUAUACCAUCCGUGACGCCGAGGACGGCGACAAUGCCAAGCCGCAGCAAGGUAGCAAACCAGAAACAGAAAAUAAGCUUGAAAUGGUCGCCGGCAAAGGCGACGGAUCUCAGCAACAAGAUUGGGAUAACGCGGAAUGGGAGAGCAAGCCACUUUGUGAUUUCUCAAACUUCAGAGCUAAUGUCUGCGAGAUGCGGGGCAACAUCAGGAUUCACCCAAAUGCGAGUUCGGUGAUGUACAUGGAACCUGCCAGCUCAAAGAGAAAUGAGCUGUGGAAACUUAAACCCUACCCUCGUAAAGGUGAUGAACUCUGCCUCAGCAAAGUUACAGAGCUGACGGUGAAAUCAAGCAAGGUGGCACCUGAGUGUACCAAGUACCACAAUGUGCCCGUUGUGGUCUUUGCUCUGACUGGAUACACCGGAAACCUGUUCCACGACUUCACCGACGCGCUUGUCCCCCUCUUCACGACGGCAAGUGAGUUCAAUGGCGAGGUUCAAUUCCUCAUCACAGAUAUGGCUAUUUGGUGGACAAGGAAGUACCAUGUGGUGUUUAAGAAGCUAUCCAACUACCCCUUGAUAGAUUUCAACAAAGAUACUGAUGUGCAUUGCGCCAAGCAUGCUAUUGUUGGCCUUCAUGCUUACAUGGAGUUCACCAUUGACCCCUCCAAGGCUCCUCACAACUACACCAUGGUGGAUUUCAACAGAUUCAUGCGCAGGACGUAUGAGUUGCCUAGGGAGGCCGUGUCUGCGCUCGGCGAGAUCCCCAAGGCCAAGCCGAGACUGCUCAUCAUCUCAAGGCAGAGAACAAGAAUGUUCCUCAACCUCCCGGAGAUCAUCGCAAUGGCCGAGGGGCUGGGUUUCGAGGUCGUGGUCGAGGAAGCCAACGUGAGCUCCGACCUCUCCCAGUUCUCCAAGGUGGUGAACUCCGUCGACGUGAUGAUGGGCGUCCAUGGCGCCGGGCUCACAAACUGUGUCUUCCUGCCACACAAUGCCACGUUGAUCCAGAUCGUGCCGUGGGGUGGCAUAGAAGGCGUGUGCCGGAUCGACUUCGGCGACCCGGCGGAGCAGAUGGGCCUGCGGUACAAGCAGUACAGCAUCGCCGUGCACGAGAGCAGCCUCACCGACCAGUACCCGCUGGACCAUGAGAUCUUCAAGAACCCGCUGGCCUUCCACAAGGGGUUCGAGUUCAUCAAGGAGACCUUCAUGGACAAGCAGAAUGUCAGGCUUGACUGCAACCGGUUCAAGCCUGUGCUGCUGCAGACCCUUGAUCUGCUAAACCAAUAA